rnacentral:snRNA from 1 species
GUGCUUGCUUUGGCAGCACAUAUACAAAAAUGGGAACAAUACAGAGAAUAUUAACCUGGCCCCUGCAUAAGGAUGACACAGAUUUUUGAAGUGUUCCAUAUUUUU